ACCUGCUGAUAACAACACCGAGAUUACAAGAGCAGACUUUCUGCAGUGCCUCCUGAGCAAUUGGUUGUCAUUGUCCUAAACAGAACAGCUAGGUUAAAAAGAUUUAUCCAUAAUGUAACCUCCUGGACCUCAGCUAUGGGUGGAAGCAACACUUUCUGGUUUGACCUCCUAAUACCACAAACUCCACUUUGCCAGAAAAGUGACUUCUUAAUGAAUAGUCUGUUCAGACCGGCCAAUUUGGAGUGUAUUCAUAUUUCGCCACCUGCUGGAGCGUCAACGACCAAGAGGAGACCAGAUGAGUUUUCAAAGCAGUCCUCACACACCCAGGACACACCUCAUCCUUUGCCUCGUGCUUUCUGCAAUGUUGCUGUUCAUGUUCAUCUUCCUAUUAACAUUUGCCAUAAUAACACCUUAUUGACCACCAUUAUUCCUCCAUCCACCACCCACUCAGCUCCUUCUCUGAGGUGCCCUCUAAUGGGCAGUGACUUUGGUCUCUAUUUGGCAAAUUAUGUCCAGGUGGUUAACAUUAAUUUCUCUUUCUCCUAUUUCUCCCUCAUGCUAGACUUAGUCCAACACUCAGCCCCCUGUCAGGAAAACCAUAGUAAAUCCUACUUUCUGCCAUAAUGAAGUUACAAGACACUUUUCCAGAGCAGUCACACUCAAUGAAGGGACCCAGAGUAUAUCUGAGUGUGAUGUAAUUGAAACCACAUGGAAAGACUAGAAAUACCUUGCCCCCAGUCAGAUACAGUGAAAGAGCUUACUCAAGACUGGACUAAGAUUUAGAAUGUAGUGGAGCUAGGGAGGAGAAAGAGAAAGAUCUUCAGAAGUGGAUUGUCUCUGAAUACAGGAUGAAAUCAUCUAGAUUUUUUUCUCCAAUUAAAUUUGCAUUUCAUUCAACC